GACGCCGCGUGAGGGAUGAAGGCCUUCGGGUUGUAAACCUCUUUCAGCAGGGAAGAAGCGCAAGUGACGGUACCUGCAGAAGAAGCGCCGGCUAACUACGUGCCAGCAGCCGCGGUAAUACGUAGGGCGCAAGCGUUGUCCGGAAUUAUUGGGCGUAAAGAGCUCGUAGGCGGUUUGUCGCGUCUGGUGUGAAAACUCGAGGCUCAACCUCGAGCUUGCAUCGGGUACGGGCAGACUAGAGUGCGGUAGGGGAGACUGGAAUUCCUGGUGUAGCGGUGGAAUGCGCAGAUAUCAGGAGGAACACCGAUGGCGAAGGCAGGUCUCUGGGCCGCAACUGACGCUGAGGAGCGAAAGCAUGGGGAGCGAACAGGAUUAGAUACCCUGGUAGUCCAUGCCGUAAACGUUGGGCACUAGGUGUGGGGCUCAUUCCACGAGUUCCGUGCCGCAGCAAACGCAUUAAGUGCCCCGCCUGGGGAGUACGGCCGCAAGGCUAAAACUCAAAGGAAUUGACGGGGGCCCGCACAAGCGGCGGAGCAUGCGGAUUAAUUCGAUGCAACGCGAAGAACCUUACCAAGGCUUGACAUGCACGAGAAGCCACCAGAGAUGGUGGUCUCUUUGGACACUCGUGCACAGGUGGUGCAUGGUUGUCGUCAGCUCGUGUCGUGAGAUGUUGGGUUAAGUCCCGCAACGAGCGCAACCCUCGUCCCAUGUUGCCAGCGGGUUAUGCCGGGGACUCAUGGGAGACUGCCGGGGUCAACUCGGAGGAAGGUGGGGAUGACGUCAAAUCAUCAUGCCCCUUAUGUCUUGGGCUUCACGCAUGCUACAAUGGCCGGUACAAAGGGCUGCGAUACCGUAAGGUGGAGCGAAUCCCAAAAAGCCGGUCUCAGUUCGGAUUGGGGUCUGCAACUCGACCCCAUGAAGUCGGAGUCGCUAGUAAUCGCAGAUCAGCAACGCUGCGGUGAAUACGUUCCCGGGCCUUGUACACACCGCCCGUCAAGUCACGAAAGUCGGUAACACCCGAAGCCCAUGGC
rnacentral:rRNA from 1 species